UACGUAGGGUGCGAGCGUUGUCCGGAAUUAUUGGGCGUAAAGAGCUCGUAGGCGGUGUGUCGCGUCGGUCGUGAAAACUUGGGGCUUAACUCUGAGCUUGCGGUCGAUACGUGCAUCACUUGAGUUCGGCAGGGGAGACUGGAAUUCCUGGUGUAGCGGUGAAAUGCGCAGAUAUCGGGAGGAACACCGGUGGCGAAGGCGGGUCUCUGGGCCGAUACUGACGCUGAGGAGCGAAAGCGUGGGGAGCAAACAGG
rnacentral:rRNA from 1 species